rnacentral:rRNA from 1 species
GACGAACGCUGGCGGCGUGCUUAACACAUGCAAGUCGAACGGAAAGGCCUGCUUUCCCUUGUGGAUUGCGGGUACUCGAGUGGCGAACGGGUGAGUAACACGUGAGUGAUCUGCCCCCAACUUGGGUAUAAGCCUGGGAAACUGGGUCUAAUUCCCGAUAGGACUGCAGGGUGGUGCCUGUGGUGGAAAACGAUUUUCUAGUGGUUGGGGAUGAGCUCGCAGCCUAUCAGCUUGUUGGUGGGGUAAUGGCCUACCAAGGCGGCGACGGGUAGCCGGCCUGAGAGGGUGGACGGCCACAUUGGGACUGAGAUACGGCCCAGACUCCUACGGGAGGCAGCAGUGGGGAAUAUUGCACAAUGGGCGGAAGCCUGAUGCAGCGACGCCGCGUGGGGGAUGACGGCCUUCGGGUUGUAAACUCCUUUCGACCGCGAGGAAGCCACCUGGUUGGAAGGGUGGUGACGGUAGUGGUAGAAGAAGCACCGGCUAACUACGUG